rnacentral:rRNA from 1 species
UACGUAGGCAGCAAGCGUUGUUCGGAGUUACUGGGCGUAAAGGGUGUGUAGGCGGUUCUUUAAGUUUGGUGUGAAAUCUCCCGGCUCAACUGGGAGGGUGCGCCGAAUACUGAGGGACUAGAGUACGGGAGAGGAAAGUGGAAUUCCGGGUGUAGUGGUGAAAUGCGUAGAGAUCCGGAGGAACACCAGUGGCGAAGGCGACACGCUGGGCCGUACCUGACACUGAUACGCGACAGCAUGGGGAGCGAACGGG